AUUCUGAUGUUUCCGUUGCUUUGGCGUCCAUUGGAAUUGAAAGAGGCAAUUCCGUGUCCAGCAUAAAAAAGUUCCUUGGCAGCCGCAACCUGGUAAAGAGGGGGCUUUUGUCCGAUGAUAAUUUGGAGGUGGCAGUGGCCAGUGCUGUUCGAGAGACUGGACCAACAUUUGGGCGAAAAAUGAUGACCGGUUACCUGGCCUCAAAGGGACUGCGCGCUGCAGAACGCCGUGUGGGAUCAGCACUGAGGCUUGUCCAUCAACCUUACCACCAAGCUCGCUUACAGGGAGCACGGAACUUCAACCCAGUUCCAUACAAUGCAGAGUAUUUUGGUCACAAAUUACAUAUGGACCAAAACGAGAAACUCGUUAGGAGUUUGGAGUUACGCAUGUGGUAGGAGUUGAUGGA